rnacentral:rRNA from 1 species
GGUUAAGCGACUAAGCGUACACGGUGGAUGCCCUGGCAGUCAGAGGCGAUGAAGGACGUGCUAAUCUGCGAUAAGCGUCGGUAAGGUGAUAUGAACCGUUAUAACCGGCGAUUUCCGAAUGGGGAAACCCAGUGUGUUUCGACACACUAUCAUUAACUGAAUCCAUAGGUUAAUGAGGCGAACCGGGGAACUGAAACAUCUAAGUACCCCGAGGAAAAGAAAUCAACCGAGAUUCCCCAGUAGCGGCGAGCGAACGGGGAGCAGCCCAGAGCCUGAAUCAGUGUGUGUGUUAGUGGAAGCGUCUGGAAAGGCGCGCGAUACAGGGUGACAGCCCCGUACACAAAAAUGCACAUACUGUGAGCUCGAUGAGUAGGGCGGGACACGUGGUAUCCUGUCUGAAUAUGGGGACCAUCCUCCAAGGCUAAAUACUCCUGACUGACCGAUAGUGAACCAGUACCGUGAGGGAAAGGCGAAAAGAACCCCGGCGAGGGGAGUGAAAAAGAACCUGAAACCGUGUACGUACAAGCAGUGGGAGCCUCUUAAUGGGGUGACUGCGUACCUUUGUAUAAUGGGUCAGCGACUUAUAUUCUGUAGCAAGGUUAACCGAAUAGGGGAGCCGAAGGGAAACCGAGUCUUAACUGGGCGUUAAGUUGCAGGGUAUAGACCCGAAACCCGGUGAUCUAGCCAUGGGCAGGUUGAAGGUUGGGUAACACUAACUGGAGGACCGAACCGACUAAUGUUGAAAAAUUAGCGGAUGACUUGUGGCUGGGGUGAAAGGCCAAUCAAACCGGGAGAUAGCUGGUUCUCCCCGAAAGCUAUUUAGGUAGCGCCUCGUGAAUUCAUCUCCGGGGUAGAGCACUGUUUCGGCAAGGGGUCAUCCCGACUUACCAACCCGAUGCAAACUGCGAAUACCGGAGAAUGUUAUCACGGGAGACACACGGCGGGUGCUAACGUCCGUCGUGAAGAGGGAAACAACCCAGACCGCCAGCUAAGGUCCCAAAGUCAUGGUUAAGUGGGAAACGAUGUGGAAGGCCCAGACAGCCAGGAUGUUGGCUUAGAAGCAGCCAUCAUUUAAAGAAAGCGUAAUAGCUCACUGGUCGAGUCGGCCUGCGCGGAAGAUGUAACGGGGCUAAACCAUGCACCGAAGCUGCGGCAGCGACACUAUGUGUUGUUGGGUAGGGAGCGUUCUGUAAGCCUGUGAAGGUGUACUGUGAGGUAUGCUGGAGGUAUCAGAAGUGCGAAUGCUGACAUAAGUAACGAUAAAGCGGGUGAAAAGCCCGCUCGCCGGAAGACCAAGGGUUCCUGUCCAACGUUAAUCGGGGCAGGGUGAGUCGACCCCUAAGGCGAGGCCGAAAGGCGUAGUCGAUGGGAAACAGGUUAAUAUUCCUGUACUUGGUGUUACUGCGAAGGGGGACGGAGAAGGCUAUGUUGGCCGGGCGACGGUUGUCCCGGUUUAAGCGUGUAGGCUGGUUUUCCAGGCAAAUCCGGAAAAUCAAGGCUGAGGCGUGAUGACGAGGCACUACGGUGCUGAAGCAACAAAUGCCCUGCUUCCAGGAAAAGCCUCUAAGCAUCAGGUAACAUCAAAUCGUACCCCAAACCGACACAGGUGGUCAGGUAGAGAAUACCAAGGCGCUUGAGAGAACUCGGGUGAAGGAACUAGGCAAAAUGGUGCCGUAACUUCGGGAGAAGGCACGCUGAUAUGUAGGUGAAGUCCCUUGCGGAUGGAGCUGAAAUCAGUCGAAGAUACCAGCUGGCUGCAACUGUUUAUUAAAAACACAGCACUGUGCAAACACGAAAGUGGACGUAUACGGUGUGACGCCUGCCCGGUGCCGGAAGGUUAAUUGAUGGGGUUAGCGGUAACGCGAAGCUCUUGAUCGAAGCCCCGGUAAACGGCGGCCGUAACUAUAACGGUCCUAAGGUAGCGAAAUUCCUUGUCGGGUAAGUUCCGACCUGCACGAAUGGCGUAAUGAUGGCCAGGCUGUCUCCACCCGAGACUCAGUGAAAUUGAACUCGCUGUGAAGAUGCAGUGUACCCGCGGCAAGACGGAAAGACCCCGUGAACCUUUACUAUAGCUUGACACUGAACAUUGAGCCUUGAUGUGUAGGAUAGGUGGGAGGCUUUGAAGUGUGGACGCCAGUCUGCAUGGAGCCGGCCUUGAAAUACCACCCUUUAAUGUUUGAUGUUCUAACGUUGGCCCCUGAUCGGGGUUGCGGACAGUGUCUGGUGGGUAGUUUGACUGGGGCGGUCUCCUCCUAAAGAGUAACGGAGGAGCACGAAGGUUGGCUAAUCCUGGUCGGACAUCAGGAGGUUAGUGCAAUGGCAUAAGCCAGCUUGACUGCGAGCGUGACGGCGCGAGCAGGUGCGAAAGCAGGUCAUAGUGAUCCGGUGGUUCUGAAUGGAAGGGCCAUCGCUCAACGGAUAAAAGGUACUCCGGGGAUAACAGGCUGAUACCGCCCAAGAGUUCAUAUCGACGGCGGUGUUUGGCACCUCGAUGUCGGCUCAUCACAUCCUGGGGCUGAAGUAGGUCCCAAGGGUAUGGCUGUUCGCCAUUUAAAGUGGUACGCGAGCUGGGUUUAGAACGUCGUGAGACAGUUCGGUCCCUAUCUGCCGUGGGCGCUGGAGAACUGAGGGGGCUGCUCCUAGUACGAGAGGACCGGAGUGGACGCAUCACUGGUGUUCGGGUUGUCAUGCCAAUGGCACUGCCCGGUAGCUAAAUGCGGAAGAGAUAAGUGCUGAAAGCAUCUAAGCACGAAACUUGCCCCGAGAUGAGUUCUCCUGACUCUUUAAGGGUCCUGAAGGAACGUUGAAGACGACGACGUUAAUAGGCCGGGUGUGUAAGCGCAGCGAUGCGUUGAGCUAACCGGUACUAAUGAACCGUGAGGCUUAACCUU